UCCUUUGGGGCAGGGUGUAAUUCCCGACCGACGGUGAUAAAGUGGAGAACCGCUUUUCAGUCCGUGACCCGGAACACUUGCAAGAGUGUGAAGGUGGAUUUGGUGAAAAUCCAAAGCCGACAGUGAUAGUCUGGAUGGGAAAAGGA
rnacentral:ncRNA from 1 species